ACAACUGUAGAGUGGCAGUCCCACUGAAGAUACGAGAAGGUGGGCGCGGUCAGCCAAUUGCAACUAAAACCCGCCUCGGCUGGUCUUUGCAGGGCGGUGGAAAAAUUUCCGGAUCAUCCGGUUCAUUAAAUAUUCAUACGUGUGAGUGCGAAAAACGCUACAAAGUGCUACACGAUGAAGUGAAGGAGUAUUUCGCCCUGGAAGUGUCUCAAGAGAAGAAAAUUUUAUCAGCCGAUGAUGAAAAGGCCAUGAAGGUUCUCCAAAGUACAGCUGUAAAAAUAGAUCAACGGUUCGAAGUCGGUUUGCUCUGGAAGAACGAACCGGUGCAAUUGCCCGAAAGUUACGAAGUCGCAUAUAAUCGCCUAAAGUGUCUUCAAAGAAAGUUCAAUAAGAACCCCCAGUUACAGCAAACAAUGCAAGGGGAAAUUGACAAACUAAUUUCUAAGGGCUAUGCGCGCAAGGUGUUGGAUUCAGAAAUGUUUUCGUUUAAGGGCCGGACAUGGUAUCUUCCAGUCUUCGUUGCUCUCAAUUCGAACAAACCCGGUAAAGUGCGCCUAGUCUGGGACGCGGCGGCAAAGUCACAUAACAAGUCUCUUGACGCCACUCUUUAAUAUUCUAAUUGAGUUUCGCGUAGGGAAAAUAGCGAUUUGCGGCGACAUAGCCGAAAUGUUUCACCGCAUAAAUGUAAGAGAUGAAGACAUUCACGCUCAGCGAUUUUCGUGGUUCGAAAACGAGGGCGGUAAAUAUAAGCCGUGUGCGUAUGUUAUGAAGGCCCUAACCUUUGGCAUAAGCUGUGCGCCCUGCAUCGCUCAUUUCGUCCGUAACAAGAAUGCAGAAGAAUUUCGUAGUGUGUAUCCACGCCGUGAAAUCAGUGGAGAGCUAUCACUAUAUGGACGACUUUAUCGAUAGUGUGGACAUCGAAGCAGAGGCGAUUGAAUUGGCAAUGACAGUUAAAAGAAUCCACGCUUCUGGCGGCUUUCAUAUGAGAAAUCGGCAACAAACUCCCCUCUUGUAAGACAAGAAUUGUGCGAUGAUGGAUCUCCAGCGGAAAAGUUGUUUGGAGCUACAGAAAAAAUUCUCGGUAUGUUUUGGGAAUCCAAUAAUGACGUUUUUUAGUACAAUUACAGAUUCUCGAGGCUCAGAAGAGAUGUUUUCCAAACGAACGUGGUCCCUACCAAAAGAGAAGUUCUGCAAGGGCUAAUGUCCAUAUUCGACCCGCUUGGACUUGUAUCGGACUUAACGAUUGGUCUUAAAAUUUUAGUGCAAGACAUUUGGCGCUCAGGAAUAAAGUGGGAUGACGAACUCAGCGGGGAGCUACGCGUAAAAUGGCGUUCACGGCUUUCGAAUCGGCAUAAAAUAUCGUCUACCGUCAUCCCCAGAUGCUAUUCUAGGCUGCUAAAAAUGGCGUCGACCGUCCAGUUGCAUAAGUUUGUUGACGCAGGCGAAAAUGCGUACGCUGCGGUAUGCUAUUUUCGAAUUCAAUAUAAUAGCGACGUCGAUGUUUCAAUUGUAGCAGUUAAGUCCAAGGUGACCCCUAUAAAGCCGAUAUCAAUCCCUCGAUUAGAGUUGCAAGCGGCGUUAAUUGGUACGUGCUUGGCCGCGAAAAUUAGAAACGCGACAAGACUUCAUUGUAUCGAUAGCUUCUUCUGGUCCGAUUCCAAGACCGUGUUAAAAUGGUUGUCCAUGGAUCCGAAAAACUUCAAGGCGUUCGUGAUGCAUAGAGUUGGCGAAAUACUGGAGUCAACUAACGCUACUCAAUGGAAUUGGGUCCCAUCCAAGAUGAAUCCAGCCGACCAUUCGACAAAGAUUGGCACAACAACAGAUGACAACAUGUGGACGAGAGGACCUGAAUUUCUGAAAUUCGAGACAUUUGAAUGGACAAAAUGUUUACACUUGGAGAGCGCCGAUGACGAAGAAGUACGUAAUCGGCUGUUACACAUCUGCUCGCCGAAAUGUUUCUCUAUGUUUCUAUUAUAUAUGGAAAAGUUAGAGGCCGCGACCCAUAGCAGCAAAGCACCAGAAAACAUCCAAUUCGAAUGCAUCCAGAAAUCUAAAAACAUCUUAUUCAAAUACGCCCAACUGAGCGAGUUUGCUGAGGAGAUUUGGUGUCUAAAAAAUUGUAAACAGAUCCACAAAAGUAGUAAGCUAAAGCAAUUUAAUAUGUUCCUGGAUGAAAAUGGCGUCAUACGAGCUUGCGGCAGGGCGAGCACGCUAAAUUGUAAUCAGGCAAUAAUUUUACCUCACAGCCAUUAUAUUGCAUUCCUUGUGGUUCGAUAUUAUCAUAAAAAUGGUCACCAUUGUUUGCAUGAAGCAGUGAUUUGUAAAAUUAAAUCAUAUUUUUACAUCCCUAGAUUAAGGGCUCUCUACAAAGGCGUCCGAAGCAGAUGCCAGUACUGUAAGGACGAUGCAGCAGUGCCCCAUUCCCCACAAAUGGCUUCUUUACCGCCAGCAAGACUGUCGAGUUUUGAACGUCCAUUUACGUACGUUGGUAUCGAUUUUUUUGGCCCUCUGUAUGCAACCGUUGGCAGACGUAAGGCAAAAAGAUGGGGUGUUUUGUUUACGUGCCUGACUGUGCGGGCAAUACAUAUUGAAGUGGCUCACAGUCUUGAUACCAGUUCGUGCAUUAUGUGUAUCCCCAACUUCAUCAGUCGACGUGGCUCACCGAGAGAAAUAUACACUGAUAACGGAACCAAUUUUAAGUCUGUGGAAAAAAUUCUUCGUGAAGAAAAUCUAAACUUACGCCAAGUCUCCUCUAAGUGCGACGAUAUUAAAUGGCGGUUUAAUCCUCCAGCGGCCCCGCAUAUGGGCGGAGCAUGGGAGCGUUUAAUACGAACGGGGAAAUCAAUACUCUAUGCUAUGUGUCCCGCCUUUAAGUUUAAGGAUGAGACUUUAAGAUGUGCCCUAUGGGAAAUUGAGUUCAUUAUUAAUUCUCGCCCAUUGACAUUUGUGAGCUUGGAAUCAUGUGAAGACGACCCGCUAACACCGAAUCAUCUUUUACUAGGUGCUAAGCCUCUAGUGGAGCAUGAUCACGAUCUCUGACAUCGGUGGCAUCAAACCCAAAAGUUUGCUAAUCAUUUUUGGCGACGAUGGGUACGCGAAUAUUGUCCGAGUCUGGUGCGACGUAGCAAGUGGUUCGAGAAGGUGAAGCCGCCAUCUGUCGGAGAUAUAGUCAUACUAGUUGACGAAACGCUACCCCGUAAUAGCUGGCACAAGGGAGUCGUCACCGAAACAAUCACUGCCAAGGAUGGUCAAGUACGCCGUGUCAUGGUCAAAACCAGUACCAGUUUGUUUGAGAGGCCCGCCACCAAAAUAGCUGUAUAAGACGUCGGAAUUGCUCAAGACGGCAAGCUCAUGAAUCCCUAACUCGCUUGCAAGUCGCUACUAAGCACUGUAUAACACUCCUCUCUACCGAUGUUUGGAUAAAGAAAUGUGUUCGCCCUCUUAUAUAUAUCCGACAAGAACAUUCCAGAAUUUACUGGAAAAGAUUUCCCAUUACUUCUACCUCUGACGACAAUGCAUAUGUAUAUGUAUACGUGCAAUUAUAGCGUAAUUCCUUAGAAAAGCGAAAAAACAUCUUUCAUACAACGCCCUAAAAAGUUUUCAGGAUAAGCUGUUGUGAGUGAUCACGAAUGGAGCACCCGCAUCGUUUAUCUCAUUUAUGGAAAUUCCAACUAAACCACACAGCUCCACACUUAGCGAAAUGCAGUUUGAAGAAAAAUUCACUACCUGCUACAACGGAUGAGAGAAACAAAAAGAUGACAACAGCAUUUGCACAACACUUGACGAAGCACGAACACUUUGCGGACUUUGGGAAUACGAGAAUUUUGGACAUCGAAAGAGGGGUAAAAAGGAGAAUGACAUUAGAAAGCCUACGUAUACAACAACAAAUAGACAAUGCGAUCAACUUUAAAGAGGACGUGGAUAACACCAACAAAGUGUAUGCAGCUGUAAUCAAUAACAAAUAUAAAUAAGAAUAUAGGAUUGGAAUUUGGUAAUAUUGUGAAAAGAUACUUAAAAUGGUGCUAACGUUUAUCGUUUGAUAAAAAAAUUUUGUCAAUAAUAUUUAUGUAAAUGUGAGUUCAAAGUCAGAAUUAGUGUAAAGUAAUUGUCGCUAACAAUGUUUAUUGUUCUUGCAUCAGCGAAUUUUACUUGCUAAUCAUGCUUAUUUGGUUAUUUGUUUUUAUUUUUCGAAUAAAGACUCCCUGAUGAAGACGCGGGAGCGUUGAAACGCGUAGGAGGGUAAAAGGAAAAUUAAAAAAAAAAUUGCUUUUUUAACUCUAUCGGCCGAAGCAGCUCCAACUCAGCAAACAUAACAAAUAAGAAUUUGGCCCAAAUAUUUAUAAUUAAAUAAAUUUCAAUUUCAAAAAGGCAUUCCAAAAGCA